UACCUCUUUAUGGGAUCGACUUGUUCGGCACAUGAAACAAAACCAGUGGACACCUCUUCUCACUUUGAUGAGCAUGUAGGUGCAUGGGAGUCUGGAUUGAAACAACAUUGCAAAUAAGAAUAUUAAGAAUAUUAACAGAGCUGUACAGGACUGUUGGCUGCAACACUUGGGACAUUUAGGUAAGAAAAGGUGUCACACUUUUCUGCCUCCGCAAAGCCAACUGAGAGUAGGAGGGUUAUAAGAGAAACCAAAAUCCCAUUAUUUGGGUGAGUAAAAACUAAAUAAUCAAUAUUGCUUUUAAAUAUGUUGGUAUCUAUUAUUCAAUGUGU
rnacentral:lncRNA from 13 species